rnacentral:lncRNA from 1 species
CCGAGGCAGCCCGCUAGGGAGAGAGGUAAGAGGCGGGCGGGGAGACGAGAGAGGAAAGAAGAGAGGAAAGAAGAGAGGAGGGGCCGGGCCGGAGCUAGGCUGGAGGGAGGAGAGGCGGAGCCUCUUCCGUACGUGCCAGGAGGCUGCGGCGCGGGCAAUGGGGGGGGGGGAGUAGCUAGGAGGGGAGGGGGGAGCCUCGGCGUCGGCGCGUCGCCUUGCUGGGCCGCGGCCGGUGGUCAGGAGGGAGAGAGGAGGAGGAGGAGGAGGAGAAGGAGGAGGAGUUCUAGGUCCUGCAAGGAAUACAAAAGAAAAUAAGACAAGUCUGUGCCCUCGAGGAGUGUUAAAUCUAACACACAAGCUUACUAAACACUGAAAAGCAUUCUGCCUACCUGAAAAUAAGGACGAGAAAUAUCUAUACACUGCAGGUUAGUUUUUAGAUUAACUCUUUAUAAAAAUAAUAGCACAAAAUAAAGUUUAACAUGGUGGCGACCUCUUUAUAAAU